rnacentral:misc_RNA from 1 species
GAAAGUCCUUGACAAAAUAUCUUGGUAAGACUUUUCUAAAUGACAGAGAAAUAUGCAGAUAUAAAACACCAACUUUCAGAAAGUAAAUAGGAAGAAUUCAAAUCAUUGAAAUGCUCAAAAAAGUCAUAUCUGAUCACUACUUAUUAUAGUUGAUAAGGAACCAAUGAUAACCGAUCAACAAUGGGAAGAGGAUGAAGGUAGAACUACAUAACAGCAUUAGAUGCCAG